AUUAAAUGUAAAUAUAAACAUGGAUGAUUGGCCUGUCGAGCACCACUCAUGACACCUACCAAUUCUUUAUUGAUAUUUCUGCAAGUCGUUUCAAACCCGAUUUUGACUCUCAACUAAACAAUCUUGACACAAAUGGA